UCAGCAUGCAAGUCCAGUAUCACUCUUGCAAUGGAAACAAUUCAGGUCGAUGGUCUUCAACAGCCUCCCAGGAUGAAAUCUACAGACGUUGAGAAAGGAGUAAUCGCAUCGCGAGGCCUCAGAAAUGCUUCCCAAGCCCGGGCUGGAAUACUGCGGGGCGGGUACUUCAGGCUGGAGAUUUGAGAUCCUCAUAUUCUGCAGGCUUUUGUACGCAGAGCAUCUGUAGAUGUUCAGUGAAAGAAGAAUUACAGGACAGAAGAUACUCUAAAACAGGCAAUGAAGAAUUAGGAACCAAGUGGCCACAAAGGGCUCAGGCUUUGCAGAGAGGCACCUUCCACCUUAUAAUGAGU